rnacentral:lncRNA from 1 species
UGUUUGUCUCUCUGUUUUGUUCUACGAACAGAGAAUGAUAAGGUAAACUUCAAAUCCGCGUGAAUUUCACCUUGUAAUAACGGGAAAAAGGAGGUCUCAGGUACUCAAAGAACAGCUUCUUCAUCUGGCACUCUCAUUUUUAUUUUUGAUUCUUCUACUCUUGAAUGUUGAGCAAAAUGAUCUUUGAUCGAGAACCUUAAUAAACUGAGAAAUUCUGCUUUUUUUUAUUUGAAAAAAAAAUCCCGGGUUUUUUUUUUCUGGGAUGUGUUCUUAUGGAUAAUUCGAUUGAUCAACUAAUGAUAAAUUUGGUUUAGGUGGAUGUUUAUUUUGAUCUUAACUUUUGACGAUUUCGCUUGAUAAUUGCAAGAUGUUCUUUGUUCUCGCGAGAUUUGAUUAAAGUAUCGAUUUUUACAGAUUCGAUUCAUCAUUCUGAUUUGUUUGGUUUCGAUCCAUGUUCUGAAAUUCUGAUCCUUGAUUCAUGAUCUAAUCUGGAAUUGUUCGUCGAUUUUUGGGUUUUAGCUGGAAAAUAUGGCGACAAAUGCUUGCGAUGUGAAUCAGCUCGAUUCAGCAGAUUCGCUUCUACCUCCAAGGAAGCUAUUACUCGCCGGAUUCAAGAAACAGAACUCGAAAACCACCGGAAAUGGAUCUUCUUCUUCUCCGAGCCCUCCUCUUCCUUGUUUCGCUUCUUCCUCCUCUACUUCAUACUCAAACGGAUCCUCCUCUGCUUCAACAGAUGUGCAGACCCAUCUCGACAAUCUCUUGACUUGCCAGCUCAACGAUGACCAUAACCGAUCUCCGGAAGAGCUAGCUCAGGCGUCGAAAGCAACCGCUGCUUUAGCGAUUAAGGUCGCAAAGGCGGCGAGAGCCACCGCUAAUGAGAAAGCGAUCAGUGCUUCAAAGGCAGUAGCUGCGGCCAAGAGUGCUUUGGAACUGUUCGCUUCUUUUCCGGCGGCUGAGACGACGACGACGAUGGUGAAGGAGAGGUCUCCGAGGAAAAGAGUUUGAAGCUUGGCAAGCUGAUAAAAAGGUUUAAAGAUUGUUCAAGAAUCGUUGGUUCAGGCUGCGUUGUGGCUCGUGAUGACAAGGAGAGGCUUUUCACAUGAACUAGGAGCUUUGGUCGAGAUUUUACCUUGAAGUCAGACAAGAAAGCUCCUACAAGGAUUGUGGUUUUAAGACCUGGUAUUCAGAGAGUGUAUGAUUACGAAGAUUCGUUAACUACUUCUUCAGGGACGACCAUUGAAGGAAGCAGAGGAAGCAGCAUUGAAGAGUUUCUUGAGGAAGUCAAGGAGAGGUUGAAAGGUGAGCUUCAAGGAAGAGCUCUCAAGAGAAGUUCGUCAGUGAGAGGAAGCGAAAUCGAGACUCCUUUCAGCGAAAGACCAUUUCCGAGGUCUGAAUCGAUGAGAUCAUAUGCAGCGAGCGAGGUUCAGUGCAAUGCACCAGACUCUCCUCAAGAGUUUAUAAGUAGAGAUACAAGAAGGCUUUUGGCAGAGAGACUUAGGAACGUUUUGAGAAAAGAGAUGAGUCCUUCAGAUGAUUCUGCGAUCAAAUGUAGCUGUUUGCGACCUACUGUAUCGGAUGCAGAGAGCUUGCGGAAACAAACUGUUGAAAUCGAUGAAGAAGACACGAGAACAAACAGAAACAUUCCUAAGAAAGAUUCUUCAUCACCAAGGAAUCUCAAAAGAUCACUAUCUGCUCCUGUCUCAGGGACAUCAUUUGGUAAGCUUCUGUUAGAGGAUCGGCAUGUUUUGACAGGCGCGCAGAUCAUGAGAUAGCACGAUGCUGUAAUAGCAGAACGAGAAGAGACAGAAGCAGAAAUAGAACCAAUCAGGAGGAAAGAAAGAUUAUCUCAGAAGAGUUCUGGAGAAAUGUUGAUUAUCUCAGCCAGAUUUCGACACCGGAUGUGACUGUAUCGGAUGAGAACGGUAUGCCUCAAGUCUUCAGAGACAUCAGUUCCAAUCUAAGUGGUAAGAAAACAAAACAAAGUUUUCUCCUUUUUUCUUGAAAUGUUCAACACACUUCUUGAAGUGUUUCUCAUUCUCUGUUUCUGCUGAAUUCAGAACUAAGAAGGCAGAUAAAUGAGCUUGACUCCGACAUACAAGUGCCAACGCCUGUGGAAGAAGAAGCGAUGGCUCGAGAGACUGAGAACAUUGUUGAUUUAGGAAAUCCAGAUAAAGUAUUUGUUAGAGAUCUUCCUGUGGCUUCUGGUUUGUAUGAAGGGACUACUGAUAGAUCAUUGUCUAGAUUCGAUCCAUAUGCAAAGCUUAUAAACAAGUCUGUUCUUGAAGAAAUAAAAGAGAAUCUCAAGGAGAGAAGCAAUCAGAAUCAAGAAGACGAAGACAGCAAAGAGAGUAGUAGAAGUGAAGAUAAUCAUAAUAUACUUGUUUGAUCUUUUGAACGAAGUACUUACGGUGGUGCUUGGACCAUUGACAAAGUCAGGUUUCAAGAAGAGAUUUAUAAGCUCUUGUGUAUCUGAGUCAACGGCUAUACGAGGUAAAUAUCUGUUGGAAUCAACUUGGAGGAUCAUGUCGGAGUAUUUAUAUUCUCAGCCAGAGAAACCCUUUUGUUCAUUGGAUGGGAUCAUUGGUUGGGACUUGGAGAGGUGUCCAUGGAGUGGUUUGAUUGGUGAAGAAGUUAAUGUGUUGGGGAGAGAAGUUGAAGGUAUGAUCAUGGCGGAUCUUGUUGAGGAAGUUGUUAAGGAUCUAAGAACACAAAUGGUUUAAAGAUCAAGAGUUAAGAUAUUGAAGCAGAGCUGAUUGGUUUGGUUAAUGUGAUUGGUUUUUUGGUAUGUUUCUGUAAAUAGGGUUUUUCAAUGGGGUGUUUUUUUUUUUAAGAGGCGAGUUUCCAUUGUACCUGUAAAUGUUUACUUGCAGUACAGGGAAGCUAAAAUUCUUCUCAUUGCUACAUAUAAUUUCUAUUUUACUAAUACUAAAAGGAGUUUAUAAUUGUAAUGGUGCACACUAAUUACAAAUCUAAAUGGGAUUUGACUAACAUUGGGCCAAAUAUGAGCCACUUGGGCCGGAUUCAUUUAAUCUAGUUUAGAAGUGGGUUGAGUUGUCUUUUGGUGAAUUAGAACCAUCAUUUUUGAACAUUACCGUUAUGUUUCAAAGGUAGUCUUUGAGCUAUGACUUUUUUCUCCUAACACAUGUGUACAUAAUUCAUUGUAUAUACUUUGGUUUACUAGUGUACUCCGUCGAUAACAUUUUGUUUAUUGGUCAUUGCCGAUGUCACAUAAAUGUGGAAUUCGUAACAAUAAUUUUGCUUUACUAACAUUCAAUAUACUGUAUCUCUAUGUUUUUGAAAUUUUAUGGGCAAUGGAAAUUAGUAUGUAGAUACAUAAUAAGUAGCAUGGAAAAACAUUUUCCUUUAGACACAACUUUGGUAUCGGUUUGUGGAGGGAGAGCUUAUAUUUGAUGUCGUAAAUUUAUCUGUCGUCUUUCUUCUGAAAAUCCAAAAGAGUUCCGUUGUGUAACGAUAUGACUGGCAAUGGCAUGAAUGUAGAUAUAAUCUCUUAAGCUGUGCGAUUCUCUAGCAUUUCUAACGUAGUUUUUGGAUUAUUUGAAUAUGUUUUAUCCGUGUUUUGAGGAUGUCUUAGUUUAUCUUUAAGGUUUGCUUAUGUUAAGGCUAGUUCUACAGUUCUAGAGACUUGAUAGGUUGUUUUAAAUGGAGUUUUUUUUUUUUAUAUGUUCUUUUGUAAUUAAUUGUUGGUUUUCAUGAUUUUCAAUGAUUUAUCUAUCUUUCUUUCACCGAUUUUAUUUCUGAAGAAAGUUUACAUUUUCCACUGGACUUUGAUUUUUUUUUUUGUUUGCAGUGACCCCUUUUACAUAUGUAUUUUAUCUUACAUUCCUUCAUGUAAUCUAUUUUGUAUACUAUUUUAAUUUGUAUUAAAAUUAUGGAAUUAUCAUUUUUAACAUUCAUAAAUUGUUAGAUAUUUUUUUGUCAUGUUUUAAUAUUAAAUGACUAUUUUACCCUUUUUCUAUUUUAUCGUGUAGCGUACGCAAACAGUGUUGAAUUGUAACAAAUUUUAUGCGGUAAUUAAAAUAAAAUGUUACAAUGCAAAAAUACAUCUUAAAAUGUCUAUAUCUUAAACAAAGUACUGUACAAAUAAUUUACAACAUAUGUCAAAUUAAAUUUUUUGUUAGCCAAAUUAAAUUCAAAAUGUCUAAAUUGUAGAUACAGAAAGUCUACGUUUUGUAAUAAUACUGUAAGUAGCUCCGUUAAAAAAGAAAGAGUAAUGACGGCCGUUAUUAUAGUUAGACGGAAUGUAAUAGAAAAACGAAAAAAAACUCUGGUUAAUUUUCUGUCUCACUUUUGUCAUGGAGACAGAGGUAAAUGUAAAAGAAACAAAAAAACCGUAAGAAAAUUAGCCAAAAAAAAAUUAAGAGAUAAUUAAAAUUGAUUCGUAGGGUUUACAUAUAAAAACGAAAAUGGAUCAGAGAUUGGAAACAAACCAUCUCCUUCUCUAUAUUCCCCAUUUCUCUCCUUCUGAAAACCCUAAUUUUCUUUCCUCUUCAUCUCUAACCUCUGUGUUUGUCUCUCUGUUUUGUUCUACGAACAGAGAAUGAUAAGGUAAACUUCAAAUCCGCGUGAAUUUCACCUUGUAAUAACGGGAAAAAAGGAGGUCUCAGGUACUCAAAGAACAGCUUCUUCAUCUGGCACUCUCAUUUUUAUUUUUGAUUCCUCUACUCUUGAAUGUUGAGCAAAAUGAUCUUUGAUCGAGAACCUUAAUAAACUGAGAAAUUCUGCUUUUUUUUUUAUAUGAAAGAAAAUUCCGGGUUUUUUUCUGGGAUGUGUUCUUUUGGAUAAUUCGAUUGAUCAACUAAUGAUAAAUUUGGUUUUGGUGGAUGUUUAUUUUAAUCUUAACUUUUGACGAUUUCGCUAAUAUUGCAAGAUGUUCUUUGUUCUCUCGCGAGAUUUGAUUAAAGUAUCGAUUUUUACAGAUUCGAUUCAUCAUUCUGAUUUGUUUGGUUUCGAUCCAUGUUCUGAAAUUCUGAUCCUUGAUUCAUGAU